UGCCUGGUUCAUUCUGUAGCUUUGAAAGGGUAUUUUUAGAUUUGAAGAUAGAAACAUAAAAUGAUAAUUUCAAAGGUGCGUAGGUGCAGUAAGGCUCUUCCUGCAAUGUUUCAGCAGUGCUGAAAAGUCAUAUUCAAAAACCUCAUUAGGUACCUCCACGCCUUUGAAAUUCAGGCUUUUAGAGUUGCUAUGUGUAUUUAACAUGAUUAGAAACGUCUCCCAAAUGAUCUUUUCCUACACUUCCUUUGCACAUUGCAUAAUUUCAUUUGACAUUUUGUUGACAGUCACUGGUAUAUUCUCGUGUUGAGUCUGGGAGCAGGUGAAUCUUGAUUAGGAAUUUGCCAUUUCCUUUGCAAAUACGUACAUCUGUAUGCUAACAUAAUACGACUCUUGAUGUCUCUGAUAUAUAAAGAGUUCGAUAAACAGGAUAAUUUCCAUCACGAACAUGGUUAUUAUCCGAAUCUUAUUUUUUUUAAUUGUAGGUAUGAGUUGUGGCUGUAAGGAGAUUUUGACUGAACCAUUUCUGGUUUCUGUUUCCUUGCAACGUUCCUUGCAAGAUGAAUAAGUUGUGUGGUAAGAAUAAGACGUACUUUCCAAAGAGCAGAUGCUCUGUAAGCCUAGUGUGGAUUGCCAGGAUUUGAGUGCAGGCCAGGCAAAAUUCAUUUCCUAAAUCCAAAUAGAAUUCUGGAUGACUUAUAGUAUCAGGAUGUAUCUUUGAGAGAAGUUUAAAAGUUGAGGAGCUUGAGUUUUGCUUGAGAAAAGAAAACCUGAAUCAACAGCUUUUAUGGGUGGGUAUUGAAAAGGGAAAAACUUGGAGUUCUGAAGGCCACAUUUCUGCCUGCCCCGUCUGGGAAAUGGGGCGCAAUGGGGCAGCUGGAGCCUGGCAGCUGGCUGAGUUCUUUUCCUCUCUUGGGCUCAAACACACAACUGCGAUGUGUCAGCAAUUAGAUCUCUGUUAAUUUAAUGAUUUUCUUCACCUAACUCUAUGUAAGUAACUGAAAGAAAGAGAAACGGAGCACUACACUGAGUGGACAGGCCCACUCUAAACACAGAAAGUGUCACCUUUUGUUGAAACAGGAGCUUCUUUUGUGACUUCUGUGAUAAGAAUAUAACAACUCCUAUUUUUCACAGGUUUUCUGUUCAAAUUAUUUACUAUUUGGAGCAAAGGCUGUCAUUUGUUAUGCAUUUGAACAGUUAUUCCUGUAAUUGAGUCUUUGAAUAGUUUAGGGGGUUAUUUAGAACAUAAAUCAUAACUAUGCAUUAGGCAGAGGGAAGAAAAGGUUUUAUUUAAUUUUGCAUACCCACAGACCUGUAAAAUUAAACAAAUUGCAGAAGAAAACCAGCACAAGCCUUCUUCUGAUAUUACAGUGCAGCAAACAUGCCAUCUGUUACCAGCGCUCUUCCUAUCCACUCAUGAAUCCCAGAGCACAUAAGAAAAAUGGUCUUUGUGAGACCCUCCGAGAAAUAUGUACCACCAGCUUGAGAAAUUGAAUCAGGAUAAUAUUAGAAUGUGAAGAUUCUGCCAUGGAAAUCCAGUUAUGAUCUCUUACAGGAUUUAUUAUUGUUGCCUUGAGAACUUAGUGUGGAAGCAAGCCCUUCCCUAAGAGCUCAGUUAGCCUGGUUGGCGGUCUUAAUGUAAACACCACCGAGAACUUCACUUUUAUUACUUCUGUUUCUUCCUUUCUUUUUGUAGUAUUGCUUUUCCUAGUGACCUUUAUGGAACUCUCCAUAAAAAUGCAGCAGAUCUUGCUGACCCUAACAACUCAGAGGAAACAUUUAAUCAUACAACAUCAGACUAUUGUUUGCAUGGAGUUGACUUGAAAUAUUUGAUAUCAACUCUUCAAAAAUAAGGACAACGAUACUCUAUGCUUUGAGGAAUGGAGAUCAAUUUUUUAACAUUUUUGUGAGAAAUUGCUGCGUAGAGUACUCAGAUAUAUAUCACAGACUCUUCUGACAGAUCCUCUGUAGUUUUGGAAAUUCCUGUACACACACCUCUAAAUAAAGAUAUACAUGCCAGGA
ensembl:lncRNA